UGGGUGUGUCUGGGUGGGUCACAGAGAUGUGACCUUGGGGAUUACAUCUCAUCUUUCACCUCUUCCUCUCUUGUACUGUUCCCCUGUUCUACUUCCUGACCACCAUGAACUAAGCAGCUUUGUUUCACCUUGCCCUUCCAUCAUGCCUCUUCCUUAGAGCCAUCUGCCAUGGGCUGAAUUCCCUGCAACCGUGAGCCACUGAAACUUCUCCCCACUUAAGCUGUGCUGUCAGAUGAUGGCACUGUCCCUUGCCAAAGACUGUUCCAGCCACUAGAAACCAGGAACCCAACCAGAUGCACUAAAGCCCCUGCCCCGGGGGAGCCUGCAGUCCAACAGCAACCACCAAAGGAGCAAGUUAAGGAACGUGCAGAGAAAGAACACAGAGUCGGGAAUCUGAAGCUACUUGAGUUCUGAGCAGCUGGGCCAGUGAGUGGAUGAAAUGCUGAUGGGCAGGGGAAGCCAUGUCAGCCCUGUGUCUCCACAGCAAGCUGCCUAAGGAAAUUUGUCUGAGGAUGAAGCCAGCAACUGAAAACAAAUUAGAGAUGGAGGGACCGAGUCCGGGAUGUUGCUUGAGCCCUGUGUGCAGGACUGCGGAAGCCAGCUCUAGCCCCUUUGCAAGUCUUGCUUAUUGACUCUUGCUCUUAUGCCAGGGUGAGUUUGGGUGGGAUUUCCACCCAAAGAAACCUUAAAGGACUGUGGCCUGCUGAAUGCCAGCUGGAGACAGGUUUUGUUGGUCCACACAGGAUUAAAAUUUUGAGGCAAC
rnacentral:lncRNA from 1 species